rnacentral:rRNA from 1 species
AAGCCUGACGGAGCAACGCCGCGUGAGGGAUGAAGGCCUCUGGGCUGUAAACCUCUUUUCUCAAGGAAGAAGACAUGACGGUACUUGAGGAAUAAGCCACGGCUAAUUCCGUGCCAGCAGCCGCGGUAAUACGGGAGUGGCAAGCGUUAUCCGGAAUUAUUGGGCGUAAAGCGUCCGCAGGCGGCCCAGCAAGUCUGUUGUUAAAAAGUGGAGCUUAACUCCAUCCAGGCAAUGGAAACUGCUGGGCUAGAGUGUGGUAGGGGCAGAGGGAAUUCCCGGUGUAGCGGUGAAAUGCGUAGAUAUCGGGAAGAACACCAGUGGCGAAGGCGCUCUGCUGGGCCAUAACUGACGCUCAUGGACGAAAGCCA